rnacentral:rRNA from 1 species
UACGUAGGGGGGCGAGCGUUGUCCGGAUUUAUUGGGCGUAAAGAGCGUGUAGGCGGCCAGGUAGGUCUGCUGUGAAAACUCGAGGCUCAACCUCGAGACGUCGGCGGAAACCAUCUGGCUAGAGUCCGGAAGAGGAGAGUGGAAUUCCUGGUGUAGCGGUGAAAUGCGCAGAUAUCAGGAAGAACACCCGUGGCGAAGGCGGCUCUCUGGGACGGUACUGACGCUGAGGCACGAAAGCGUGGGGAGCGAACAGG